CUUCACAUGCCCACAACCCCAUGGAGGAGAAACCAGACUAGGACCAAUACCCAUCAAUUCCUUCAGUGUUUUACGCCGGUCACCGUGGAGCUCCGUGUGGUGGGGUUCGGCAAGGAGGUGGUGCUAAAGCAGUGGUGGCGGAUGCGCUGGAGACUUCGCCUGGCCAUGCUACUCCGCCUAGAAGCGCCCACAUCCGGUCGUCGCCCCAUUCGCUGGUGCCGCGCUCCGAUCCACCCCGCCCCUAUUCCGCCUAGGCUGAGCUCCGCCUCCACUGUAGCUCCGCCUCAACGUCUGGCCCAAAGUGGUCUUUGCCACGUUCUUGAACUCCCCCAACACCACGACGGGGUGUUCACUAUGCUUAUGGAUGCAAAUCGUAUAAAUGGUAUAAAAUAUCUCUAAAGGAUAUGAUGUCCAAUCUUUUUUCGGAGGGUUACUGCUGAGCUGCUAAAACAAGCGCUAACAGGGAUUAUGGUACUACCUCUGUUCAUAAAAAGGAUACAAAUACCAAUACUCCAAAGGUAAUAACAUAUAGCUCACUAUUUUUUUGUGAUUCAUCAACAUGUUGAAGUAAGAACCCUUGGCAUCAAAGAAGAAACACAUAAUGCUUUCAACGCGCGCGGGCGCGCAUCAGUUACUAGUUCAUAAUUCACACGCAAAAAAAGCCACGAACGGGAGGACUGAUCCUUGUGAAGCAAAAAGGGAGAACCGGCUACACGACAUUUGCAACGCGCGGGAAACUAGUUGGGAUACACUUUUCUAUGAUACCCAAAAAAAAUGAGAGAGAUUUGCCUUGAAUUUUAUAGGGAAUAAUAGUCAUUGUACGACAACUAGUAGAGACUAUUAUUGCUUCGUGCUCACGAGGUUUCUUAGGAAUCAUGCAAUGUUCUUGAGCCUUUCAUGUUUAAAAAAAUUAGAUCUAGAUAUUCUCUUUCUCUAUUAUUAGUUUCUGGACCAUUAAAGAUAGAGAUUGGAGCUAGUGUUUUUUAAGUGACGGGUAAAAUAUAAAGAAGUUGUUAGAGAACGAGAAGAUAUAUAUAGAAUCAAUAACUUUUAUUAAAAUAUGCCUCUACAUGAAGACUUAGGUCAUUCUCAGUGGAUGGUUUUAAUGCACUAUUUAUAAAACUGCCAUAUCAAUAUUUAUUUAAAAAAAGUGUAUACAGAGUUUUAUCUCCACGAAACUUCGUCACCUCCAUGAAACUUCGGCAGGAAUCGCCCGGCACCCGCCGAUCUGCCUCAUCGAUCCUCAAAUCAGCAGCUGUUCUUUUUCAGUCAUAUUGCGAGCUGAGAGUAUUCAGGGCAAUGGAUUUGGCGUGUCGUUCUUCCUUCUCUUUCUCCACAGCUUCGUUAACUUGUUCCUUUCCUCGCAAUGACUGAAACUGAACUGAUUCAUGACAAAUGAAGUGACAUGAUUCUUCCUUCUCUUUCCCCGUAGCUUUUGUCUGUUCCUCCCUCGCAACACGCAAUUCGUGCUGUAGAAGUGAAACAAGCACACGACAGGCCGAAUUCCAAAAGGAUUUCUUCCCCUAGCUGGGCUACGUGCCUAGCAGGAGACUUUCUGUGUUCUUCUGUCCAUAUGUAUGUGUCCAUGGCACACAUCGUUCGUUGCGCUUUUAUCACCUGAGUGAGGGAAGCCGUGUGCGCGUUUCACGUACGUAUCGGUGUCGCUGCCGUUUUGUCACCGCGCGCCCACCACCCGGGGCCGGGUCAGAGCAUCUCAAUUCGCAGCCCUGUGACGAAGAACUG
rnacentral:lncRNA from 1 species